UGGUGGCGAGUGGCGAACGGGUGAGUAAUAUAUCGGAACGUGCCCUAGAGUGGGGGAUAACUAGUCGAAAGAUUGGCUAAUACCGCAUACGAUCUACGGAUGAAAGUGGGGGAUCGCAAGACCUCAUGCUCAUGGAGCGGCCGAUAUCUGAUUAGCUAGUUGGUGAGGUAAAGGCUCACCAAGGCGACGAUCAGUAGCUGGUCUGAGAGGACGACCAGCCACACUGGAACUGAGACACGGUCCAGACUCCUACGGGAGGCGGCAGUGGGGAAUUUUGGACAAUGGGCGCAAGCCUGAUCCAGCAAUGCCGCGUGAGUGAAGAAGGCCUUCGGGUUGUAAAGCUCUUUUG
rnacentral:rRNA from 1 species